GAUGAACGCUGACAGAAUGCUUAACACAUGCAAGUCAUUGGCGAAGCUGCGCUUGCGCAGUCUAGCCAAGGCGGACGGGUGAGUAACGCGUAAGGAACUUGCCCUGCAGACAGGGAUAACAGACGGAAACGACUGAUAACACCUGGUAUUGUCAGGCUGGCGCAUGCCGGCCUGAUGAAAGGAGACGCUGCAGGAGAGCCUUGCGUCCUAUUAGCUAGUUGGUGGGGUAACGGCCCACCAAGGCGAUGAUAGGUAGCCGGCCUGAGAGGGUGAACGGCCACAAGGGGACUGAGAUACGGCCCUUACUCCUACGGGAGGCAGCAGUGGGGAAUAUUGGACAAUGGGGGCAACCCUGAUCCAGCAAUUCUGUGUGAACGAAGAAGGUUUUCGGAUUGUAAAGUGCUUUCAGCAGGGAAGAAGAAAGUGACGGUACCUGCAGAAGAAGCGACGGCUAAAUACGUG
rnacentral:rRNA from 1 species